UGGGCACUGGCACCACUCCGGAGA
rnacentral:piRNA from 1 species